AGGACUAUUCCAGACAGCCUCUCUGGAGUUUGGAGGAGGCCAAGGAAAAGAAUCAUGAACCUGAGUCCAGCUCAUCGGAAAGAAGAGAGGGAAGAACUGAAUAGUGGUGAUGAUGGUGGUGAUGAUGAUAUGAUGAUGAUGAUGACGACGACGACGACAGCAGGGCUGGAGAGUUCUGUGAAACAGUAUUCAGGGAUUUAACAGACCCUAGAACGCCAGAGAAAGCAGAGAGAGGCAUGGACAGACCCACACCCAAUAACCAAGGGCCUCCAAAUUUUGCUGAGAAAUUUUUACAUACAAAUGCAAGAAAUUCAACACUCUGCAACCAAGCUUUGCUCCAUUAGAACCUGCAUUUCGACAGGACCUAUAGACACUGUGACAGCCAAGACCCUGCCCACAGAAACCUUACAGCAAUAGAACGGCAACCAAGACACUCGAAAUCAGGACUUUUUAGAUCUUUCACCGGUAGGUGUCCUUGUGAAACAGAGACAAUGUGGAGUGAUCCAGCUACCAGCCAAGAAUGCCUGCAGCCACUGAAGUAAAGAGGCCGGAAGGACCCUCCCACACCUGCAGCCCUGCUACCCUGCCACCCUCGAUUUCUACUUCGGACUGUGAGAGGUAAAAUACAUGUCCCACUUGCUGGUGAUUUCACAGCAGCCCAGGAAACCUGCACCAGGACCAGGGUCCUUACAUUAACCCUCCUGGGCCUUUCCUGGUUCUUGUGGGCACAGUAUUGUCUGGCAAGAGCACCAAGGCUAACAAGUAACCCCAUUGAGAAGCCAGGGGUCAAAGGUCACUUCGGCACAACAGUGUCUGAAAUAAUCAGGGAACGUUGUAAAGAUGGCGUUUCAGACAGACACAGACCUUCAAGAGCCAGAGCUCAUGAGAAGGCAGACAGUUUAUUUCAUCUAGAGUAACUGGACACCAUCUAACCCUGUUCCCUUCUCCAAGCAAUAAUAUACGUACCUGACUUCUGUCAAUCCUUUGCAAAUUGGCUUCUUAACAAGUGACCUGGCCCACUGCCCAGACCACUUCCAGAGGACUUAGAUGCAGUGGCUGGGAGAGGAGGGGAUAAGAGUUGGGACAUCAAGGGUCUCUCACCCAAAUGCAAGCAUUGUCUCCCUCCUGUGUGGCACAGAGCUAAAAAUUUGUUUUUGUUAGGUCUGCUGCAUUCAAACUCCUGGAGAAUCCUGGAGUGGUUGGUCUCCUCGGACACUAUUCUUGCUAACCAAAUGGCAGCCUAGAGGAAAGGGGUCAUAGCACAGGUGCUGGGAAGGAAAUCACAUGAGAAAGUCACAUUCAUUGGACCCUGAAGCCUGCAAAAGUGGGCUUAGGGUCCUGUCCUGCCACAGAGAACCUGUGUUACAGAGGCAAGUCCUAGUCUGCCGCCCAGUCAGGAUAGCAGUCACAGCGCUGACCCCAACGACAGGCGGCCUUCCUGGGUCUGUGUUUACACCUGUAUCUGACACAGAAUACAGAAUCCCUUUGGAGAUUCAUCUAAACUCAGAAAGGUCACAGGGACCAGAAAGGAGUGCAGAGCCUAUUAAAGGGACUCUGGGUAUGGCUCGGUCAGUAAUGUGCCUGCCACACAAGUGUAAGGACCUUAAGUCCAAUCCCAAGCAUCCAAACAAAAGCAAGAUAUGGCAGUCCACAUCUGGAACCCCUGGACUAGGGGAUGGGAGACAGGGGUGCUCCUGAAGCUAACUGGCCAGCUAGUCUAGCUGAUUCGAUAAGCUCUGUGUUCAUUAAGAGACGCAGUCUCAGUAAACAAAUAAAAUCGGAAGGGUUUAGGAGGUAACUCAUCAGCUAACAAGUGUGCCCAGCUCUUCCAGAGAACCCCAUGCCAGAUGGCUUAAAGCUGCCUAUACCUCCACAUCCAGGGGAGCCAACACCCUCUCCUGGCAUCCUAUUCAAGUGCACACACACACAUACACACACACACACAAUUUUUAAAUCUUUUUGAAAAAAUAAGAUUAAAAAGUUAAUGAUCAAGGAAGACACUUGAAAUUGACUUCUGGCUCCUACAUACACACAUGUAUACAUACACAAGGACAUACAUACAUACACACAAACAUGCACACAUGUAUUCAUACAUAAGAGCAUAUACACAUGCACACAUGCAUACAUACACAAGAACAUACACACAAGCAUGCACAUAUGUAUGCAUACAUACACACAAACAUGCACACAUGCAUAUAUACACAAGAACAUACACACACACAAACAUGUACACAUGUAUACAUACACAAGAACCUACACACAAACACACAAACAGGUACACACGCAUAUAUACACAAGAACAUACACACAAACACACAAACAUGUACACAUGUAUACAUACACAAGAACCUACACACAUACUUGCAAACAUGCACACACGCAUAUAUACACAAGAACAUAUAUACACAUACACACAAGCAUGCAUAAAUGCAUACAUACACAAGAACAUAUAUACACAUACACACAAACACACACGCACACAUACAUACAUAAGAACAUACACAUACACACAAACAUGCACACAUGCAUACAUACACAAGAACAUAUAUACACAUACACACAAGC